UACGGAGGGUGCAAGCGUUACUCGGAAUUACUGGGCGUAAAGCGCACGCAGGUGGCUGAGUCAGUCGAUUGUGAAAGCCCUGGGCUUAACCUGGGAAUUGCAGUCGAUACUACUCAGCUAGAGUAUGGGAGAGGGUAGUGGAAUUCCCGGUGUAGUGGUGAAAUGCGUAGAUAUCGGGAGGAACCCCAGUGGCGAAGGCGACUACCUGGGCUGUUUCUUGACGCUGAGGCGCGAAAGCUAGGGGAGCAAACGGG
rnacentral:rRNA from 1 species